rnacentral:lncRNA from 10 species
CAGCAACUCAGUUAAGUAACUUGUUGAAAAUCUCAGUUAGUAAUUAGUAUUGUGGCCACGAUCAAAACCUAGAUCCUUCAACUUCAAAUUCUUUACUCUUCCAGGGGGAAAAACCAGGGAAUGUAAAUCAGAAAUUGAUUAUGUAGUCACUUUUAGUAAGUUAUUUUUCUCCUGUCUAGAAAAGAGAAAUAAUAUUGAUAACAUUUCUAUCUUUGGGAAUAUAUUUUUGUUUUUAGGUGCUUUAAAGCACUUCUACAAGUGCUGUAUAAAUACAGUGUCACUAACACUGACUGCUUUUUUUUUUCAUGCUUGACAUUUAUAGGAUCUGAUAUUCAACUGUUUAUGUUUUUCU